GACGAACGCUGGCGGCGUGCUUAACACAUGCAAGUCGAACGGUGAAGCGCCUUCCUUUUUGGUGGGUGUGGAUGAGUGGCGAACGGGUGAGUAACACGUGAGUAACCUGCCCCCUUCUUCUGGAUAACCGCAUGAAAGUGUGGCUAAUACGGGAUAUUCUGGGUCUGUCGCAUGAGGGGUCUGGGAAAGAUAUUGUUUCGGUGGGGGAUGGGCUCGCGGCCUAUCAGCUUGUUGGUGGGGUGAUGGCCUACCAAGGCGGUGACGGGUAGCCGGCCUGAGAGGGUGGACGGUCACACUGGGACUGAGACACGGCCCAGACUCCUACGGGAGGCAGCAGUGGGGAAUAUUGCACAAUGGGCGCAAGCCUGAUGCAGCGACGCCGCGUGAGGGAUGGAGGCCUUCGGGUUGUGAACCUCUUUCGCCAGUGAAGCAGGCCUGCCUCGUUUGUGGGUGGGUUGACGGUAGCUGGAUAAGAAGCGCCGGCUAACUACGUG
rnacentral:rRNA from 1 species